rnacentral:rRNA from 1 species
GGGUUGUGAGGUUAAGCGAACAAGCGUACACGGUGGAUGCCCUGGCAGUCAGAGGCGAUGAAGGACGUGCUAAUCUGCGAAAAGCGCCGGUAAGGUGAUAUGAACCGUUAUAACCGGCGAUGUCCGAAUGGGGAAACCCGGUGCACUUCGGUGCAUCAUCGUUAGCUGAAUACAUAGGCUAACGAGGCGAACCGGGGGAACUGAAACAUCUAAGUACCCCGAGGAAAAGAAAUCAACCGAGAUUCCCCCAGUAGCGGCGAGCGAACGGGGAACAGCCCAGAGCCUGAAUCAGCUUGUGUGUCAGUGGAACGGUCUGGAAAGGCCGGCGAUACAGGGUGACAGCCCCGUACACGAAGGCACACAGGCUGUGAGCUCGAUGAGUAGGGCGGGACACGUGAUAUCCUGUCUGAAGAUGGGGGGACCAUCCUCCAAGGCUAAAUACUCCUGACUGACCGAUAGUGAACCAGUACCGUGAGGGAAAGGCGAAAAGAACCCCGGCGAGGGGAGUGAAACAGAACCUGAAACCGUGUACGUACAAGCAGUGGGAGCCUUCGUAAGAGGGUGACUGCGUACCUUUUGUAUAAUGGGUCAGCGACUUAUAUUCUGUAGCAAGGUUAACCGUAUAGGGGAGCCGAAGGGAAACCGAGUCUUAACCGGGCGUUAAGUUGCAGGGUAUAGACCCGAAACCCGGUGAUCUAGCCAUGGGCAGGUUGAAGGUUGGGUAACACUAACUGGAGGACCGAACCGACUAAUGUUGAAAAAUUAGCGGAUGACCUGUGGCUGGGGGUGAAAGGCCAAUCAAACCGGGAGAUAGCUGGUUCUCCCCGAAAGCUAUUUAGGUAGCGCCUCGUGAACUCAUCUCCGGGGGUAGAGCACUGUUUCGGCUAGGGGGCCAUCCCGGCUUACCAACCCGAUGCAAACUGCGAAUACCGGAGAAUGUUAUCACGGGAGACACACGGCGGGUGCUAACGUCCGUCGUGAAGAGGGAAACAACCCAGACCGCCAGCUAAGGUCCCAAAGUCAUGGUUAAGUGGGAAACGAUGUGGGAAGGCCCAGACAGCCAGGAUGUUGGCUUAGAAGCAGCCAUCAUUUAAAGAAAGCGUAAUAGCUCACUGGUCGAGUCGGCCUGCGCGGAAGAUGUAACGGGGCUAAACCAUGCACCGAAGCUGCGGCAGCGACGCUUAUGCGUUGUUGGGUAGGGGAGCGUUCUGUAAGCCUGCGAAGGUGUGCUGUGAGGCAUGCUGGAGGUAUCAGAAGUGCGAAUGCUGACAUAAGUAACGAUAAAGCGGGUGAAAAGCCCGCUCGCCGGAAGACCAAGGGUUCCUGUCCAACGUUAAUCGGGGCAGGGUGAGUCGACCCCUAAGGCGAGGCCGAAAGGCGUAGUCGAUGGGAAACAGGUUAAUAUUCCUGUACUUGGUGUUACUGCGAAGGGGGGACGGAGAAGGCUAUGUCGGCCGGGCGACGGUUGUCCCGGUUUAAGCGUGUAGGCUGACUUUCCAGGCAAAUCCGGAAAGUUAAGGCUGAGGCGUGAUGACGAGGCACUACGGUGCUGAAGUGACAAAUGCCCUGCUUCCAGGAAAAGCCUCUAAGCAUCAGGUAACAUCAAAUCGUACCCCAAACCGACACAGGUGGUCAGGUAGAGAAUACCAAGGCGCUUGAGAGAACUCGGGUGAAGGAACUAGGCAAAAUGGUGCCGUAACUUCGGGAGAAGGCACGCUGACAUGUAGGUGAAGCCCCUGCGGGUGGAGCUGAAGUCAGUCGAAGAUACCAGCUGGCUGCAACUGUUUAUUAAAAACACAGCACUGUGCAAACACGAAAGUGGACGUAUACGGUGUGACGCCUGCCCGGUGCCGGAAGGUUAAUUGAUGGGGUUAUCGCAAGAGAAGCUCCUGAUCGAAGCCCCGGUAAACGGCGGCCGUAACUAUAACGGUCCUAAGGUAGCGAAAUUCCUUGUCGGGUAAGUUCCGACCUGCACGAAUGGCGUAAUGAUGGCCAGGCUGUCUCCACCCGAGACUCAGUGAAAUUGAACUCGCUGUGAAGAUGCAGUGUACCCGCGGCAAGACGGAAAGACCCCGUGAACCUUUACUACAGCUUGACACUGAACAUUGAGCCUUGAUGUGUAGGAUAGGUGGGAGGCUUUGAAGCGUGGACGCCAGUCUGCGUGGAGCCGACCUUGAAAUACCACCCUUUAAUGUUUGAUGUUCUAACCUGGCGCCAUAAUCUGGCGUGGGGACAGUGUCUGGUGGGUAGUUUGACUGGGGCGGUCUCCUCCCAAAGUGUAACGGAGGAGCACGAAGGUCAGCUAAUCCUGGUCGGACAUCAGGAGGUUAGUGCAAUGGCAUAAGCUGGCUUGACUGCGAGAGUGACGGCUCGAGCAGGUGCGAAAGCAGGUCAUAGUGAUCCGGUGGUUCUGUAUGGAAGGGCCAUCGCUCAACGGAUAAAAGGUACUCCGGGGAUAACAGGCUGAUACCGCCCAAGAGUUCAUAUCGACGGCGGUGUUUGGCACCUCGAUGUCGGCUCAUCACAUCCUGGGGCUGAAGUAGGUCCCAAGGGUAUGGCUGUUCGCCAUUUAAAGUGGUACGCGAGCUGGGUUUAGAACGUCGUGAGACAGUUCGGUCCCUAUCUGCCGUGGGCGCUGGAGAAUUGAGGGGGGCUGCUCCCAGUACGAGAGGACCGGAGUGGACGCAUCACUGGUGUUCGGGUUGUCAUGCCAAUGGCACUGCCCGGUAGCUAAAUGCGGAAGAGAUAAGUGCUGAAAGCAUCUAAGCACGAAACUUGCCCCGAGAUGAGUUCUCCCUGAGACUAUAAGUCUCCUGAAGGAACGUUGAAGACGACGACGUUGAUAGGCCGGGUGUGUAAGCGCAGCGAUGCGUUGAGCUAACCGGUACUAAUGAACCGUGAGGCUUAACCUUACAACGCCAAAGAAGU